rnacentral:rRNA from 1 species
GACGAACGCUGGCGGCGCGCUUAACACAUGCAAGUCGAACGGAAAGGCCUGCUUUCCCUUGUGGAUUGCAGGUACUCGAGUGGCGAACGGGUGAGUAACACGUGAGUGAUCUGCCCCCAACUUGGGUAUAAGCCUGGGAAACUGGGUCUAAUUCCCGAUAGGACUGCAGGGUGGUGCCUGUGGUGGAAGACGAUUUUCUAGUGGUUGGGGAUGAGCUCGCGGCCUAUCAGCUUGUUGGUGGGGUAAUGGCCUACCAAGGCGGCGACGGGUAGCCGGCCUGAGAGGGUGGACGGCCACAUUGAGACUGAGAUACGGCCCAGACUCCUACGGGAGGCAGCAGUGGGGAAUAUUACACAAUGGGCGGAAGCCUGAUGCAGCGACGCAGCGUGGGGGAUGACGGCCUUCGGGUUGUAAACUCCUUUCGACCGCGAGGAAGCCACCUGGUUGGAAGGGUGGUGACGGUAGUGGUAGAAGAAGCACCGGCUAACUACGUG